rnacentral:hammerhead_ribozyme from 1 species
GUUCAGAUGAUGAGUCCGAAAUAAGACGAAACGCGCGUCAAACUGGAU